CACUCCUACGGGAGGCAGCAUGGGGGAAUAUUGCACAAUGGGCGCAAGCCUGAUGCAGCCAUGCCGCGUGUAUGAAGAAGGCCUUCGGGUUGUAAAGUAUUUCAGCAGUGAGGAAGGUGGGUAUGUUAAUAGCAUAUUCAUUUGACGUUAGCUGCAGAAGAAGCACCGGCUAACUCCGUGCCAGCAGCCGCGGUAAUACGGAGGGUGCGAGCGUUAAUCGGAAUUACUGGGCGUAAAGCGCAUGCAGGUGGUUUGUUAAGUCAGAUGUGAAAGCCCGGGGCUCAACCUCGGAAUUGCAUUUGAAACUGGCAAACUAGAGUACUGUAGAGGGGGUAGAAUUUCAGGUGUAGCGGUGAAAUGCGUAGAGAUCUGAAGGAAUACCGGUGGCGAAGGCGGCCCCCUGGACAGAUACUGACACUCAGAUCGCGAAAGCGUGGGGAAGCAAACCAGGAUUAGAUACCCUCGGUAGG
rnacentral:rRNA from 1 species